UGGAACUGAACCUGGACCUGGAACUGGACCCAGCUGUGUGUCCUUGAAGAGUGAUGCAUCAAAGGGUUUUAUUACCAAUUUUAAUGAUGCUCCUGGUUGUCCUUCAGAGAGGUUUCAUCAGAAAACAGACUCCCAUGGACCUGGACCUGAAUCUGAACCUGGUCCUGAACCUGAACCUGGUCCUAGCUGUGUGUCCUUGAAGAGUGACAGAUCAAAGGAUUUUUUAAUCAGUUUUAAUGAUGCUCCUGGUUUUCCUUCAGAGAGAGUGGACCAGCAGAUCUCAGAGUCCCCCAGUGGUCCGUCUGUCCAGCAGCAUCAGACCCAGCUGGAUUCCAUCUUUCAG